UCCAGGAAGCAGACCCGAGGCUCCCACACUGCAGGCAGAUUCUUAACUGUCUGAGCCGUCUUCGUAGGCUGAAAGCUAUUUGCUUCAUUCACCGCUGAGCAGCUAGAUUUCACCCAAGCUAUCCCCAGUUUUUCCUCGUUUCAAUGACAUCCAGAAAAAGACUCAUGACACAAAGACUUGUCUUCAGUCCUUUCCUUUGAUACCCAUCUGCUGAAGGACAGCGACUGAAUCAUCCGUGUCGUCUGCAGAACUCGUGUGGAGUUUGGCGUUUGCUACUUCGUCACACGGGGCCAUCUCUGCCUGAAGGGCUUUCCAUCACCCUCUCGAGUACGUGAGAGCCUCCUGUCUUCUCCUGCCGCCUCCUGUGUAGCCACGCCCAUGCGCUGAUCACCCUUGGUUUGAACUGUCUUCCAUAUAUUAUAUGAGCUCCUGGAGAAUCGAAACCGUGUCUGUCAUAGAUCAUAGACACCACCGGCAUAGCUCACCUGCCCAGAUCACUUUGCUAAUCUGUAAAACUCAGAUGUUAGUAAGAGUAAAUCUCCCAUGGGUUGUUCUGAGGAUUAAAUAAUAAUUAUACACGAGAGGCUUAAAACAGUGCCUGACACAUGGUGUCACUAGAGAUCUACUGAAUCAGGAUUACUAUGGUUGCAACCUAGAAAUUUGCAUUUUUAUCUAGCACACCUCCUCAUAUCUUUCUGGUAAAAUAAAAGCCUGAAAGGUGGUUAGAAUACAAUGCUAUCCAAUAUUGAACUAUUUAUUCAUUAUGCACACACCCAGAGAUACUGAAGAGGUUUCCAUCUUGGACCCUAGCUUUCAGAGCAGUCAUUCUAAUUUCAUUUCUGGAGUUACUGGCUAGAAUCAAUAUGUUAUUCCAUCAACAGACAGAGAGAAACAGAGAAUCACAGAAAGAGAAGAGGAGGGA